rnacentral:lncRNA from 1 species
CUGUGAGCUUAGCUCGUUGAUUCGUUUACUUAGUGUGAAAACUAAAUUUUGCCGGGGCCCAUUACAAUAAUAGACAAGAAAUAUAAAGCCCAAAUUUUGUGAACCCUAUCCAAAAAAACAAAAAAAAACAAACUAAACCCAACCUUACGGCCAAACCCCAAACUAAAACAAGCCCAAAAUGGCCCAAACCUAAACUAGUUCCAGCAUCUGAGAAACCCUAGCAGUAGUGUGCGCCGCUACCCAUGUGCGCCGUACCACUUCUCCAGCACGCAUGCCGCUCGAAACUCUCCUCCAUCAACUCCUGUAAACAAGCAACAAAGAGGGAACAGAGACAAGGCAACACGCAAAUAGUACAAAAAACAAGACAAAACAGUAGCAAAGGCAGUAAAAACAAAGAAAUAUGUAUUUUAAACAAUGCAAAAAUGGCUAUAAAGGCCAGAGGAUAGUUUGUAUUCAGGAGGAGGAUUUCUGAGAGGGGUUUUCUUUUUUUUUUUUAAAUACAAAAAAUAAGAUUGUAACACAGAUAUUAGAAAUCGAAACGCACACAAUCAAAUCGAAAAAAAGGUUGGAAAUUAAAAGGUGUUCUUGGUUCUUUUGAUUUUGAUUUUUUUUAUUUUAUUCUACUGUAUUUUCUUUUAUUUGUUUCUUUCUCUUCCCGAAUCUGUUUAAGCAAAAACUAAGAAGGAAGGAAAAAUGGCUCACCCGAAUCCCUUCGAGCUCGCCGUAUGAGUGAUUUCUCCGUCGUUGUAAUCGGGUUCGACAAAGGGACAGAGAACUCCUUUUCUCCUCGUUCUUUGGUUGCUGAAGGUUUAGCCUUCAAAAAGGGACUUUGAAGAAAGAGCUUAAAGGCUCGUUCUCCGCAACGCCGGCCACCGGCCAUGGCAGCGGUUAAGUGAGCAGGAAAUGGCCUUGUCGGUUGAAAAGAAGGAGAAGAGAUGGGGAGUCUGAGAGUGUUAGGUUUUUUUUAGAAAAAAAUAAAAAAUAAAUAAAGGCUAAAAU